UACAGAGGGGGCAAGCGUUGUUCGGAAUUACUGGGCGUAAAGGGCUCGUAGGCGGCCAACUAAGUCGGACGUGAAAUCCCCAGGCUCAACCUGGGAACUGCGUCCGAUACUGGAUGGCUUGAAUCCGGGAGAGGGAUGCAGAAUUCCAGGUGUAGCGGUGAAAUGCGUAGAGAUCGGAAGGAACAUCAGUGGCGAAGGCGGCUACCUGGACAGAUACUGACACUGAGGCGCGAAAGCGUGGGGAGCAAACAGG
rnacentral:rRNA from 1 species